rnacentral:rRNA from 1 species
CCUACGGACGGCAGCAGUGAGGAAUAUUGGUCAAUGGGCGCGAGCCUGAACCAGCCAAGUAGCGUGAAGGAUGACUGCCCUACGGGUUGUAAACUUCUGUUAUAAAGGAAUAAAGUGAGGCACGUGUGCCUUGUUGUAUGUACGUUAUGAAUAAGGAUCGGCUAACUCCGUGCCAGCAGCCGCGGUAAUACGGAGGAACCGAGCGUUAUCCGGCUUUAUUGGGGUUAAAGGGAGCGUAGAUGGGUUGGUAAGUCAGUUGUGAAAGUUUGCGGCUCAACCGUAAAAUUGCACUUGAUACGGGCAGUCUUGAGUACAGUUGAGGUAGGCUGAUUUCGUGGUGUAGCUGU